GCUGGGUACGGUGGUGCGUGCCUGUAGUCCCAGCUACUUGGAAGGCUGAGGCAGGAGGAUCGCUUGAGCCCAGGAGUUCAGGGCUGCAAACUAUGAUUGUGCCACUGCACAGCCUAGGCAACAGAGCAGGAUCCUGUCUCUA
ensembl:misc_RNA Metazoa_SRP Metazoan signal recognition particle RNA